GGGGAAUAUUGGACAAUGGGCGAAAGCCUGAUCCAGCAACGCCGCGUGAGGGAUGACGGCCUUCGGGUUGUAAACCUCUUUCAGCAGGGACGAAGCGAAAGUGACGGUACCUGCAGAAGAAGGACCGGCCAACUACGUGCCAGCAGCCGCGGUAAUACGUAGGGUCCGAGCGUUGUCCGGAAUUAUUGGGCGUAAAGGGCUCGUAGGCGGUUUGUCGCGUCGGGAGUGAAAACUCAGGGCUCAACCCUGAGCGUGCUUCCGAUACGGGCAGACUAGAGGUAUGCAGGGGAGAACGGAAUUCCUGGUGUAGCGGUGGAAUGCGCAGAUAUCAGGAGGAACACCGGUGGCGAAGGCGGUUCUCUGGGCAUUACCUGACGCUGAGGAGCGAAAGCAUGGGGAGCGAAC
rnacentral:rRNA from 1 species